UACAGGGGGUGCAAACGUUGCUCGGAAUUAUUGGGCGUAAAGCGCGCGUAGGCGGCCACUUAAGUCGGAUGUGAAAUCCCUCGGCUCAACUGAGGAAGUGCACCCGAAACUGGCAGGCUUGAGUACUAAAGAGGGUCGCGGAAUUCCCGGUGUAGAGGUGAAAUUCGUAGAUAUGGGGAGGAACACCGGUGGCGAAGGCGGAUCUCUGGGCCAUUACUGACGCUGAGGAGCGAAAGCGUGGGGAGCGAACAGG
rnacentral:rRNA from 1 species